GGUAAGUCUGGGCCAGAAGCCGGUGUAAGACAGAGUGUGGAAGAGUUAAUCGGAAUUACUGGGCGGAAAGCGCUCGUAGGCGGGUGGUUAAGUCGAUCGUGAAAGCCCUGGGCUUAACCUGGGAAUUGCGGUCGAUACUGAAUACCUAGAGUAUGGUAGAGGAUAGUGGAAUUCCCGGUGUAGCAGUGAAAUGCGUAGAUAUCGGGAGGAACACCAGUGGCGAAGGCGACUAUCUGGACCAAUACUGACGCUGAGGAGCGAAAGCGUGGGGAGCAAACAGGAUUAGAUACCCGUGUAGUC
rnacentral:rRNA from 1 species